rnacentral:rRNA from 1 species
AGUGAACGCUGGCGGUAGGCCUAACACAUGCAAGUCGAACGGCAGCACAGUAAGAGCUUGCUCUUACGGGUGGCGAGUGGCGGACGGGUGAGGAAUACAUCGGAAUCUACUUUUUCGUGGGGGAUAACGUAGGGAAACUUACGCUAAUACCGCAUACGACCUACGGGUGAAAGCAGGGGAUCUUCGGACCUUGCGCGAUUGAAUGAGCCGAUGUCGGAUUAGCUAGUUGGCGGGGUAAAGGCCCACCAAGGCGACGAUCCGUAGCUGGUCUGAGAGGAUGAUCAGCCCCACUGGAACUGAGACACGGUCCCGACUCCUACGGGAGGCAGCAGUGGGGAAUAUUGGACAAUGGGCGCAAGCCUGAUCCAGCCAUACCGCGUGGGUGAAGAAGGCCUUCGGGUUGUAAAGCCCUUUUGUUGGGAAAGAAAAGCAGCAGGUUAAUACCCCGCUGUUCUGACGGUACCCAAAGAAUAAGCACCGGCUAACUUCGUG